CAAGAGGCACGUACUUAAGAAUUUAUAAUGUCCAAUAUUAUCUGGAAUGCACAAUAAUAUCCAACAAAAGUGUAUUUGCUCAGGACAGUAGCACAAAGUGAAAUUAUUUUGUUUCUUUUAUUAAUAUUUUACAGAUCCCCCAAGGAUUUAUUUUCAACAUAAACAGUGGAAAUUAAGCAACGCCCCAGAGAUUGAUUUCUUUGGGGCACCAUUUAUAAUUGAAAAAUGGAUGCAACUUGAAUGUGCGCAAGGCCCGAAAUAUAAACUGUCUGAACUGACAGUUGAUCAACUGGUAAGUAUUAUUAUUAGUGGUGUUUGGAGGGGCGUGUCGGCAACUAUGGCCAGAUUAUUAAAAGGAAGAGAAAAAAGUGAACAGGACACAAUGGUACAGCAGCCCCUUCGAGGACAUAUGAGAAACAAACAAGAGAUACAAAUACAAUACCCCAGAGGAGACAAAGCAACAGCCAUGUAGACACAAAUACCAAGGACAUACAUUCACACCAUAUGUAGGGUACACAAAAACAAAGACCACUUCUCAGGAAGGUCCUGUCAAGCAGUUAAGAUUAUAAAGCUGUUACAGAGCGUUAAAAAGGCCCACGGUACGUAAAAAUGGAAGGACGUCGCUCGCGGGUGAACUCCCUUCUCCGAGCAACUGUCACAGAGUGACUGGGAGCUUAAAAUUACUGGUGGUAUCUAGGGCACUCCAGAAGGAUGUGGCGUACAGUCAUUGGAGUGGCACAGGCAGUACAUUCAGGCGGACUCUCCCCAAACAGUAGGUACAUAUGCGUAAGUCGGGUGUGGCCUAUUCAGAGGCGAAUCAUGGUCAUGUCCUCCCUGUGGGUGAGACCAUCACCGAAGCGAUGGCGGCGGGGUAUGUCGCAGAGUGAGCGUAGCUUGUUGGUCAGGGGAAAGAAUUGCCACUCCCUCUGCCAUACAUUCCAUACGAACUCUCGGGCGGCAAGCAGAACAUCGCACACAGGAAUUCUAAGUGCACAAGGUGGAAGUCCGCACGACUCCUUUACCGCUUGAUCUGCAGCUUCAUUGCCAGGUAUUCCCACAUGUCCUGGUACCCACAGGAAGUCAACUCAAAUACCCCUUUGUUCCAUGCCACGCAGUUUCUGCCGAAUCAAGGGAAGGACUGAGUGAGAUGUCGAGCCAGCCUGAAGGGCAGAUAACGCACUCAAUAAAUCGGAGCACACCAGAUACCUAAGGCGGACGCCUCCACCGAUAAAACUCAGAGCUUUUAAAAUUGCGUAAAGUUCGGAGGUGAAAACACUACAGGUAGGAGGUAGUCCAAAGAGGUACCUCCCCUGGUCGCAAAUAAAAGAACACCCUACAGAACCACCUGAGCGGGAACCAUCUGUGUAAAGGCAAUUAAAAAUGGCUACGUAAACAGACGAUGGAGUGGAUAGCUUCGACCAGCGCGCCAGGUCAAGGUGCACCUGAGACUCAUGUUGCAGCCAAAGUGGUUCCUGUUGCGCAGGUGGCAGCAAAUCAUCCGGGAGCUCUGCAGGCCCCCAAGCAGACUGUACCCUGAUGGAUACAGGUCUGGUAGCUCGGGGAUUUGCUGCAUACAGAUGGGCAAAAGGGGCGCGCAGAAAUGACCUAUAGUAAGGGUGAGAGGGAUCCGAUCUGACACGCACUCCAUACGACAGUAGCAGUAAUCCCGCCUGUACUGAAGGGGAGGUUCUCCAGCUUCCGCGCAGAUGCUAACGACCAGGCUAGUAGGAUAUGCCCCGGUAGCAAUGCGGAUUCCAGCAUGGUGAAUGCUCGCCAACUGCUUCAGGACAUAUGGCCGUGUCGAAGAGUAUGCCACACAGCCAUUGUCCAGUUUGCUCCUAAUUAGAGCACGGUACAGUCGAAGGAGCAUAACUCGAUCUGCACCCCAAUCCCGAUUACUCACCAUUUUGAGGAGGUUUAGAUCUUUGCAACAAUGAGCCUUCAGGUCUUUGAUGUGUGACGACCAAGUCAGUUUCCGAUCAAAAAUGAGUCCCAGAAAUUUCACCGUAGAUAAGACCGGUAGCACUGAGCCAUACAGUCGGAUCUCAGGAGCAGGGGUGAGAUGCCACUUCCGGGUGAAAUGCAGUGACUCGGGUCUUUGCAUGAGAAAACCAAAACCGUUAGAAUCCACCCGGGACUCCAGACGCCGCACCGCUAACUGAAUCUGUCGUUCAGACAUGGCAGACGUGGCGGAACGACAAAAAAUGGCCAAGUCGUCAACAAAAAGUGCACAUUGCACUGGGGGUCGGACGGCUGAUACAAUAUUGUUGAUUGCCACAGCAAAUAGGGUGACGCUAAGGAAGCUUCCCUGCGGAACACCAUUCUCCUGUAGAUACACCCGGGAGAGAGCGGUACCAUUAUGAACCUGGAAAAACCAAUGGCGCAUAAAAUUGGAAAUAAAAAGAGGGAGAUUGCCCUGGAAACCCCAGACAUACAGCUGCUGGAGAAUACCAUAACGCCAUGUCAUGUCGUAUGCCUUUUCGAGGUCAAAAAACACAGCGAUAACAUGCUGUCCGUGGACAAAAGAGUCCUGGACUGCCGAUUCCAGGGUAACAAGAUGGUCAACAGCCGAGCAGUUACAUCUGAAACCACACUGAAGUGGUGAGAGGAGCUUCCACGCCUCAAGGUAGUACAUCAGGCGACAGCUGACCAUCCUCUCCAUGGUUUUACAGAUACAACUUGUAAGGGAGAUAGGGCGAUACCUGGACGUCUCCCCUUUGUCUUUCCCUGGCUUUAAAACGAGUACCAGUAGUGAUUUACACCAACUGGAAGGAAAGGUCCCAGAUUCCCAAAUGCGGUUAAAUAGGUGCAAAAGUGUGACUUUCCCUUCCUCUGUAAGAUUUUUCAGCAUCAUGUAGCGUAUGUUAUCAGGGCCGGCAGAGCACUGCUUUGAAUGGGACAGUGCCUUCUCCAACUCAGUGAACGUGAACGGUACGUUAUAAUCCUCCCCUCUGGUGUGACUAAAGUCAACUCCAGUACUCUCGCGAAGAGCUUUGAGGGUUUGAAAGGCGGGGGGGGUACUGCGCGAUGCUCGACACUUCAGCAAAUGCGGAACCGAGUCGGUCAGCGAUUUCCAUUUGGUCGAGUACUAAGGCUCCAUUUAUCCGAAGAUAGGGAACGUGGGUGUUACUAUUGUGACCAUUAAACUUCCGAACUGCGGUCCAGAUGUUUUUACUGGUGGAAUGCAUAGAAAACUGCGAAAUAUAUGCCCUCCAAGAAAGACUUUGACUCUCUCGAAUUGUACGAUGUGCUCGGGCCCUGCAGAUACGAAAUUCUUCCAGGUGCUGUUGUGUCGGUCGAGACUUAAACCUUCGGAGCGCUCUUCACCGGGCCCAGAUAGCGUCACGACACAGGUCGUUCCACCAUGGUGUGCGGCACUGACCAGUAACUGCCUGAUCACCCACAUGGCAGAAAGAAAAAAUUUCUCAUUCAAAACACAAAAAAAAAAGGCUGUAAAGCAUUCAUGUCCAUCAGGUGUGUUCGUGUGUACCCUGAAUUUUCUGCAGAAGACACAGAGAGGAAGAAACAUGCUCUUACCACAGUUUGGCCAUGGCUGCCGCAUCCAUCACUCGUGGGUGCCUACAUGCCCACACUUAUGCUUGCUGCCACCAAGAUAGAGUGCUGCCCUGUUACCUACGCAUCUGAUUCGCCUUCUUUAGCGCUAGAUAUCGAGAGGCAGCAAGGUGACACGUCAUAA